GCUCAGUCCCGUGCGUCGUCGUCGGUAGUCGACCGCCCGACGUCCGUCUCAGCCAGUCGCCGGUCGCCGGUCGCGGAUUCUGUGUGUUAGGAUUUGGGUUGUUGGCGGUGCACUUAAGUUGUUUUGAUAAAGAGACGUUUGGAUAAGGGCAAGGGUGUUUGGCGCGGCUGGCGAGAGGUUGCAACGCCGGCCAUGGGAAUGAAUUAGUUGAAAGUUGGGUCAUU
rnacentral:misc_RNA from 1 species